rnacentral:piRNA from 1 species
UGCAACCUGAAGAGCCACCAGCGCCACG